AAAGCUUUAAGUUAAAAAAACUAAUAACCUUCAAAGUUAUAAAUAUAUAAAAUUUAUAAGCUUUA
rnacentral:tRNA from 1 species